AGCUCAGUUGGUAAAGCACAAGGCUCUUAACCUUGUGGACGUGGAUUCAAGUCCCAC
rnacentral:tRNA from 1 species